GGAGGGGGAGGCGGCGCCCCAAAGCCUUUCGGGCCUCCCUCCCUCCCUCCUUCCCUCCAUCUGCGACGGGAAGGCGGUGGCCCCUCCGGCAGCAGGGGAAGGGCUCAGUCGGGGCCCUUCCCCGUUAAGGCUCUGUCCUCAGGCCUUGGGGGUGGGGGGGGGGGGGGGGAGAGUCAGGGUGAGGGCCUCCGGGUCGCCGUUCUUCUCCUUUUCGGCCCUUCGGAGGGGACCCCCCCCCGCUCUCUCCUCCCCCUUGAAAGGCUGGCUGGAAAUCAACCUUCCUUUUUCACAAAGGGCCUUUUUACGGGUGUGAUAACUCUGGCAGACCCCACUGUUGUAGAAUGUGCUCCUGCCAGUUGUCUUGGUGCUUGUCCUGCGAGGAACCUGAUCCUGCUCAGGCAAGGGCAGGGCAGAAGAGGAGGGAGAGGAGAAGGAUUCCUCGCUUGGAGACCAUCUUCCUGGAAGCCUUCUGUCUCAACCCUGGUAGGCAUCCUUAAGUCUCAAGAGACUAUGGGAACGUGCUCUGAAUAGAGGUCUUGGAACAGCGUCUAGUGUGGCUGAGGAGGCCAAUUCGAGAUUGACCAUCCCUUUCACCCUGAAGACCAAUACAAUCCGUCCCUUGUCCAGCUCCCUGGUUUUGCUGGUUUCGGGACUGCCUCUUGGCCUCGGCCUGCUGGACAAGGGUCUAUUCCAAUUACGAGAGCUCAUGAUGCACCGCCUGCCUCCAGGCUGAAUGCUCGGAUGUCAGGCUUUCUGUGGAGGUCCAUUCCUAAGGCUUCCAGAUGCCGCCUGCAGAUAUCCUUGUAUCACAGCUGUGGUCUCCCUUUGGGGCAAUUUCCCUGCACUCAUUCUUCAUACAGGACAUCUUUUGGAAUCCGACCGCCAACUAUUCUCAUUACAUGCCUGAGCCAACGUAGACAUCACUGUUUCGGUAAAAUAUACAUGCUAAAAAUUCCAGCUCGUUCUCUGACUACUCAUAUUUGAAUUUUGUCUUGCCAGGUGAUGCUAAAAAUGUGUCGGAGGCAAUGCAUAUGGAACGUGUUCAGCUUCUUCUCCUGCCCUGCACGAAGGGUCCAGGACUCACUGCAGUACAGGAGGGUGCUCAGGACACAGGCUCUAUAGACCUGCAUCUUGGUAUAUGCCGUCAGCUUCUUAUUAAGGCAUGCUCUCUGUGAGUCUAGAGAAUAUGGUGGCUGCUUUGCCAAUGCGUUUAUCCAACUCGGACAUCUAGAGAGGGUGUCGAGAUCGUUGAGCCCAGGUUCACAAAAUAAUGAACAACCUCCAAUUCCUGUGUAGAGAUGGUAAUACAGUGGUGCCUUGACUUACGAACUUAAUCCGUAUUGGAAUGGUGUUCGUUAAGUCAAAGCACCAUUUCCCAUUGAAAUGCAUGAGAAUGGGAUUAAUCUGUUUCAGCAUUUCAAAAAAAUACCAAAAUAAAAAUAAACAGAGCAAGUCCCA
rnacentral:lncRNA from 1 species